rnacentral:rRNA from 1 species
CUUUAAUGGAGUGUGUUGGGACUAUUUUAGCCCACACACCAUAGGUUUUGAUAUGGAAAGCGCCAUUAAAGUAUACGUUGUUUCAAUGUUGUGCCAGCUUAAGCGGUAACACAAAUGAAACUCUCUUGCUUUAGGAGGUGGAUAAAGGAUACUUUUUCCCUUGGUUCUUCCAGGGAAAUCAAGUAGUCUAUGGUGUACCGGGAACAAAAGAUGGGCCUCUUGUGAAGAAUAAACUUCCUAGACUUCGGACAUUGUGGCUGGUCCAGUUCCCUGGUGUCCCGAUAAACCGUUAAAUCUUACUUCUUUUUAACACAGGUUGCAUGGCCCACUUCUUUCUCAAGUUUCUUGAGGAAGCUUGGUGACAUGGCAUGUGGGAAGAUUUCACCAUGGGCUGGAGCAUAGGGUGUAACCUUUAUGCUCUAGAACUGGAGAGUAAUCUCGGUUUUAAUGGGACCAAGGUGAACAGACCUCCUAAGGGACUCAUUGCUCGUCACCUGGGGUGAAAGCCCUAGUAAGUCGAAACAUGGUAGGAAAUGGGGA